rnacentral:rRNA from 1 species
GGCCGGGAACUCAAAGGAGACUGCCAGUGAUAAACUGGAGGAAGGUGGGGAUGACGUCAAGUCAUCAUGGCCCUUACGACCAGGGCUACACACGUGCUACAAUGGCAUAUACAAAGAGAAGCGACCUCGCGAGAGCAAGCGGACCUCAUAAAGUAUGUCGUAGUCCGGAUUGGAGUCUGCAACUCGACUCCAUGAAGUCGGAAUCGCUAGUAAUCGUAGAUCAGAAUGCUACGGUGAAUACGUUCCCGGGCCUUGUACACACCGCCCGUCACACCAUGGGAGUGGGUUGC